GUGUCAGCAGCCGCGGUAAUACGUAGGGUCCAAGCGUUAUCCGGAAUCACUGGGCGUAAAGCGUGCGUAGGCGGUUCGUUAAGUGCAAUGCGAAAUCUUGUGGCUCAACCAUAUAGACUGUAUUGCAUACUGGUGAACUGGAGGAUGGCAGAGGCUAGUGGAAUUACUGGUGUAGCAGUGAAAUGCGUAGAUAUCAGUAGGAACACCAAUGGCGAAGGCAGCUAGCUGGGCCAUUUCUGACGCUAAGGCACGAAAGCGUGGGGAGCGAACAGGAUUAGAUACCCCGGUAGUCC
rnacentral:rRNA from 1 species